ensembl:lncRNA
CAUAGAAGAGGCCAAACGAAGCGUCAAACUGCAUGAGAAUCAGCACAAGAUUUUGGUGCAGACGUUGAAUUUCCUCCUCUGUCCUGUUUUGAGCGGCUGGGAGGUUUGCGGCAGCAGAUGGGCUGUCCCGCUGUGUGCCUGAUUGAAACACAGAAGCUGGAGCCGACUCAUAACAACAUCACCAGCUCCUGUCAGCUCCAGCCAGGGAACAAAUCAGCCUUCCUGCGGCUCUGCUGCAGGGAACACGACUCUGCUCAGAGGAAAAAAUGAUAGUCAUGAAAACCAAAGCUGGAGUUGCAGAUGGCAGGUGUAUGUGGAGAGCAUCUGCAGACUGCACUGCGAAUAUUGAAGAACUGAUUAUAUAAGCUGGCUCAAAUAGACUGGUCACUACUGAUCACGUGUUUGAAGUUAAAAACUCAGGUUAAUGAGGUCACACUUGGAUCACAGUUUUAUAUAGUAAAACUGAUUACGUGGUUUAUGUAAUCAGAUUCCAAAAUUGAGUACUCGUAAUUGACCCUUCACAAAAACCCACCCUCCUUAGUUACUGUUGCUAUGUCCGACAAGCCAAGCUGCUCACACCACACAUAAUGUUCCCACGCAGUGAAAAAUACAUUGUAAAGCAAAGAGGAAACUGACAACAUGCCCACAGACAAGACAAAGCAGGUUACUUCUCAUAUGAAACAAGGUCUCAGCAUUUGAAUUUUGACAUUUUUUAAAGAAAUUCAAACAAUAAGUAACGUUUUGUAGCUCUUUAAUGUGUUGCGACAGAUCACUGUAGCGCUUCAGUUCAAAGCACGAAAUAAACAUGAAUGAACAUCAAAAUGUAUUUUAUUU